GACGAACGCUGGCGGCGUGCUUAACACAUGCAAGUCGAACGAUGACGACCGAGCUUGCUCGGUCUGAUUAGUGGCGAACGGGUGAGUAACACGUGAGCAACCUGCCCUUCACUCUGGGAUAACCUCGGGAAAUCGGGGCUAAUACCGGAUAUGAGCUCCUGUCGCAUGGCGGGUGUUGGAAAGUUUUUCGGUGAAGGAUGGGCUCGCGGCCUAUCAGUUUGUUGGUGAGGUAGUGGCUCACCAAGGCGAUGACGGGUAGCCGGCCUGAGAGGGCGACCGGCCACACUGGGACUGAGACGCGGCCCAGACUCCUACGGGAGGCAGCAGUGGGGAAUAUUGCACAAUGGGCGAAAGCCUGAUGCAGCGACGCCGCGUGAGGGAUGACGGCCUUCGGGUUGUAAACCUCUUUCAGCAGGGAAGAAGCGAAAGUGACGGUACCUGCAGAAGAAGCGCCGGCUAACUACGU
rnacentral:rRNA from 1 species